rnacentral:tRNA from 1 species
GUUCUAGUAGUUUAAUAAUUAUAAUUUUAGGCUAUAAAUCUAAAGGUCUUGGGUUCGAAUCCCAGCUAGAGUA